rnacentral:rRNA from 1 species
UUGGUCAGAACGAACGCUGGCGGCGCGUCUUAAGCAUGCAAGUCGAACGGCAAGAGGUAGCAAUACCUCCUAGAGUGGCGGACUGGUGAGUAACACGUGGGUGACAUACCCUUCAGAUGGGGAUAGCUAUUAGAAAUAGUAGAUAAUACCGAAUACGAGCACAGGGGUUAGAGAUCUGUGAGGAAAGGAGCUAAGGCUCCGCUGAAGGAAUGGCCUGCGGCCCAUUAGCUAGUUGGUGAGGUAAGAGCCCACCAAGGCGAUGAUGGGUAUCCGGCCUUAGAGGGUGAACGGACACAUUGGGACUGAGAUACGGCCCAGACUCCUACGGGAGGCAGCAGCUAAGAAUAUUCCGCAAUGGACGAAAGUCUGACGGAGCGACGCCGCGUGGAUGAAGAAGGCCGGAAGGUUGUAAAAUCCUUUUGAAACUGAAGAAUAAGCGUUGUAGGGAAUGACAGCGUGGUGACAGUAGGUUUUGAAUAAGCAACGGCUAAUUACGUGCCAGCAGCAGC